AUGACCGCAGUCCAAGUCGAACUGCUACCACCAUCUUCACCAAGCGCUGCACUCAUUGAGCACCAACACAGUGCUUUCCAUGUCGAAAAACUAUGGAAAAUGGGGCAAAUAAUAUACCGUUGCCUCGUGUGUCAAAUGACCUUAGAGAAGAGAUUUAGCCAGUCAGCAGCAUCUGUUGCCUCCACUCUGAUGGAAUAUGGUGGUGUUCCUCAGUACUCCACUCCAGAAUCUCUUUUGAAAAAAUCUCUCCAUGUCAUAGGUUGUGGCUACGAGGACAAGUCUGAAGGGGAACUAAGGUAG
rnacentral:rRNA from 1 species